rnacentral:tRNA from 2 species
GGAAGGGUACUCGAAGCGGCCGAACGAGGUCCGGGGAAACCCGGUCGGGCUCACGCCCACGCAGGUUCGAAUCCUGCUCCUUCCG